UACGAAGGGUGCAAGCGUUAUCCGGAUUCACUGGGUUUAAAGGGUGCGUAGGUGGGUAUGUAAGUCAGUGGUGAAAUCCCCGAGCUUAACUUGGGAACUGCCGUUGAUACUAUAUAUCUUGAAUAUCGCGUAGGUAAGCGGAAUAUGUCAUGUAGCGGUGAAAUGCUUAGAUAUGACAUAGAACACCAAUUGCGAAGGCAGCUUACUUCACGAUUAUUGACACUGAGGCACGAAAGCGUGGGGAGCAAACAGG
rnacentral:rRNA from 1 species